GGGGUGGUAGCUCAGCGGUAGAGAGCUCACCUAGCACGGGUGAGGUCCUGGGUUCGAUCCCCAGCACUACA
rnacentral:tRNA from 1 species